AUAUAAGUUCCCAAGUUCUCUCUGUUUCUCUAUUGUUGUUUCCUUUUCUUUGCUCUGAAACUUGUUUCCUCAACGUCCUUAUUUCUCCUCUGGUUUAAAUUUUAAUCCUUUUCUUUUUUGCCGUUUCUCAUCAUCUUUCUAUUUAGUUAGCAAAAGGCUUAUUUUCAUUGAGUGUUUUCAGCAGCAGCAGAUUGCCUAAUGGCAUUGAGCACCCAAAGAGACUCUGCCUUUCUUCCUUCACCUGAUCAGCCUGCUCCUCAACCGAACCACGAUGUGUUUUUGAGUUUCAGGGGUGUAGACACUCGAAAAAGCUUUGUAUCCCAUUUAUACCACGAAUUGCAGCUCAGGGGCAUUAAAACAUUCAAGGGGCUUGCAAUCAUUGUUCUCUCGCCAAAUUAUGCGUCUUCUUCCUAGUGCUUGGAUGAACUUACAAAGAUUCUCCAAUGCAAGAAAUCCAAGAACACCGUUCUGCCAGUGUUUUAUCAUGUGGAUCCUUCCGAAGUACGAAAACAAACCGGUAGUUUUGCGUGCGCAUUCACUGAGCAUGAGGAAAGGUUUAGGGAAGACAGAGAAAGGGUGAAGAGCUGGAGAGCUGCUUUAACUAAAGUGGCCAAUUUAUCUGGGUUUUAUUCAAAGAAUGAGUGUGAAAGAAAGCUUAUUGAAAAUAUUGUUGAAUGGGUGUGAGAGAAAGCGCAUCACAGAUUCAAAUUGUUAGAUUCCACAGAGUUGGUGGGAAUGAAGUUUAUACGUGAGCAAGUAGAUUUGCUUUUAGCUCAUCCUACGGAUGAUGUUCGCUUUGUAGGGAUAUGGGGAAUGGGCGGAAUUGGCAAAACAACCAUUGCUAAACUAGUUUAUGAUCGCAUUUCUAUCCAUUAUGAAGUUAACAGCUUUCUUGCUAAUGUUAGAGAGGUUUCUCAACGUGGUGAUCUUGUUAAUCUACAAAGACAACUUCUUUCCCCAAUCUUAAAGGAUCAAAUUACUCAAGUUUGGGAUGAACAGUGGGGAACCUCUGUCAUUAAGAAUUGCUUGUAUAAUAAAAAGGUUCUUCUCAUUCUUGAUGAUGUGAGUGAAUCAAGCCAACUUGAAAAGUUGGCUGGUGAAAAAGAUUGGUUUGGUAAGGGGAGUAUAAUCAUUAUUACAACUAGAGAUAAACGGUUGCUAGUUAAACAUGAUAUACAUAUAUCAUAUAAGGUAGAGGCAUUAAGUGAUAAUGAUGCUAUUGUGCUCUUUAGUCGGAACGCCUUUAAAAAAAAUGAGCCUGAGGAAGGUUUCUUGGAAUUAUCUAAGCGUUUUGUAAAUUAUGCCAAAGGCCUUCCACUAGCGCUUAAACUUUUGGGAUGCUUAGUGUAUAAGAGAGAUCAAGAUGAAUGAAAAAGUGAAUUGGAUAAGCUAUGGAGAAUGAUUGAGCCAACAAUUUUUUAUUUGUUCAAACUAAGUUACGAUGGACUAGAUGAGAUGAACAAGAACAUUUUUCUUGAUGUUGCAUUUUUCCACAAGGGGAAGGGCAAGGAUGAAAUAAUUGAAAUAUUAGAUAGUUGUGGCUUAUGUGGUCAUAUUGGGAUAAAUGCUCUCGUUCAGAAAUCACUCUUAACUAUAUCAAAACAGAAUGUUCAGAUGCAUGAUUUGAUACAAGAAAUGGCAUUGGAAAUAGUUCGUCGAGAGUGUCCUGAUGAGCCUGGUGGACGCAGUCGAUUAUGCAAUCAUGAUGAUAUCUCUCAUGUAUUCAUAAACAAUACGGCAACAAACAAAAUUAAAGGCAUUGCCUUACGAAUGGCGAGACUUGAAAGGGCAUAUUGGAAUUGUGAA